UACGUAGGGUGCGAGCGUUGUCCGGAAUUACUGGGCGUAAAGAGCUCGUAGGUGGUUUGUCGCGUUGUCCGUGAAAACUCACAACUCAAUUGUGGGCGUGCGGGCGAUACGGGCAGACUGGAGUACUGCAGGGGAGACUGGAAUUCCUGGUGUAGCGGUGGAAUGCGCAGAUAUCAGGAGGAACACCGGUGGCGAAGGCGGAUCUCUGGGCCGUAACUGACGCUGAGGAGCGAAAGCAUGGGUAGCGAACAGG
rnacentral:rRNA from 1 species